rnacentral:lncRNA from 1 species
UUCAGUGAGGAGAGUGUUCUCUGCUUUCUCCUUGACCAUGUUGGGCACCCUAAGGCACCUGGCCCCCGAGACUGUCUUCCCAGGGGUGGACCUAGCCCUGGAAGCAGACAGGUGAGACUCCUGACUGUGGCCUAUGGGCCUCUGAGGAGGCGUUGUAAGUCUGCCCAGCUUCCCACAUACUUUGUUAGCACUCAAUGGGAAGGGAACCAAGGCACCAGGCCAAGCAGGUCCGAACAUUGACACAGAAUCUGAGCAGGAAGGCCAGGCCUUAUCCAGCCCUCAGCCACAAGGUCCAAACAGUGCAAGGAUGGAAGUCAAAGGUCAGCUGAUCAACUCUCCUACCUUCAAU